GACAGAGGUGCCGAGCGUUAGGCGGAAUCACUGGGCUUAAAGCGUGUGUAGGUGGAUGCCUAAGUACCUUGUGAAAUCCCACGGCUUAACCGUGGAACUGCUCGGUAUACUGGGUGUCUUGAGCCAGCUAGGGGCUACCGGAACAAAUGGUGGAGCGGUGAAAUGCGUAGAUAUCAUUUGGAACGCCAAUGGUGAAAACAGGUAGCUGGGGCUGUGCUGACACUGGAGACA
rnacentral:rRNA from 1 species